AGCUUUGUGCAGUGGCAAUACCAUAGUCAAUGAGGUUUAUCUGAGGUAUGAUUAUUGCUAAUUGAAAACUCUUCCCAAUACCCCACCUUCACAACUUGAAAUAUUCAAAAACACAGAAGAGC
rnacentral:snRNA from 1 species